ACAAGCAAAGAACAAUUAAUUUCUGUUUUAAUAAAUAUUUGAUGUUAUUGGAAAAACCAUAACAACUUUACAAAAACUAGGAAUUCGUAAGACAAAACUUGAAAUGAACAACACUGAAAUGCAAGUUUGGCUUCAGGAGCUUAGCUUAUGAAGGAGAAGUAGAAAUUGAAGACAAUCAACAUUCCAUAACUAUAAUCGUUAAAAUCGCUUUCAGAUUUCUAAAAUAAGUGGUGAAACAUUUUUUCGGUAGGCAUCUAGCCGUCCAAAACCCUUAGAUCUAUCAUAAUAGUACGGUAACAUACCAACAAAACAAGUUCCCAAGGAUCAGGAUAAAAAAUUGGAACAAUAUGCAUUGAAGAAAUUAAAAAUGUCACUUUUACUUGAAUAAAAUAAAAACCAACGUCAACAUUGGACCAGUUCCAGAAGAUCGAUAAAUAGGUGUGACUGUGACUAAAUUAGCUUCAUGUAUAGCGUAUA